GUCAGGUUGGCCGAGCGGUCUAAGGCACUGCGUUCAGGUCGCAUUCUCCCACGGAGGCGUGGGUUCGAAUCCCACUUCUGACA
rnacentral:tRNA from 1 species